CCCCAGACUCCUACGGGAGGCAGCAGUGGGGGAUAUUGCACAAUGGGGGAAACCCUGAUGCAGCGACGCCGCGUGAGUGAAGAAGUAUUUCGGUAUGUAAAGCUCUCUCAGCAGGGAAGAAAAAAGACGGUACCUGACUAAGGAGCCCCGGCUAACUACGUGCCAGCAGCCGCGGUAAUACGUAGGGGGCGAGCGUUAUCCGGAUUCACUGGGUGUAAAGGGAGCGUAGACGGCCAAGCAAGCCAGGGGUGAAAGCCCGGGGCCCAACCCCGGGACUGCCCUUGGAACUGCAUGGCUGGAGUGCGGGAGGGGCAGGCGGAAUUCCUGGUGUAGCGGUGAAAUGCGUAGAUAUCAGGAGGAACACCGGCGGCGAAGGCGGCCUGCUGGACCGCGACUGACGUUGAGGCUCGAAAGCGUGGGGAGCGAACAGGAUUAGAUACCCCUGUA
rnacentral:rRNA from 1 species